GAUGAACGCUGGCGGCGUGCUUAAUACAUGCAAGUCGAACGGAGAGAGUAGCAAUACUGUCUUAGUGGCGAACGGGUGAGUAACGCGUUGGUGACCUGCCCCGAAGAGGGGGAUAACAGUUCGAAAGGACUGCUAAUACCCCAUGAUAUCUACCCGGUUAGAGGAGGUAGAUGAAAGGAGAGAUCCGCUUUGGGAGGGGCCUGCGUCCCAUCAGCUAGUUGGUAGGGUAAAGGCCUACCAAGGCAAAGACGGGUAGGGGGCCUGAGAGGGUGACCCCCCACACUGGCACUGAAACACGGGCCAGACACCUACGGGUGGCAGCAGUAGGGAAUAUUGCACAAUGGGCGAAAGCCUGAUGCAGCAACGCCGCGUGCGCGAUGACGGCCUUCGGUUGGUAAGACGCUUUUCGGGUAGGAUGAGGAAGGACAGUAUCCCCGGAACUAAGGCUCGGCUAACUACGUG
rnacentral:rRNA from 1 species